rnacentral:rRNA from 2 species
AUGUNGAAGAACCACCAGUGGCGAAGGCGACUUUUUUGGUCUUGUAAUUGACGCUNAAGGCGCGAAAGCGUGGGAGCAAACAGGAUUAGAUACCCUGGUAGUCCACGCCGUAAACGAUGAGUGCUAAGUGUUAGAGGGUUUCCGCCCUUUAGUGCUGCAGCAAACGCAUUAAGCACUCCGCCUGGGGAGUACGGCCGCAAGGCUGAAACUCAAAGGAAUUGACGGGGGCCCGCACAAGCGGUGGAGCAUGUGGUUUAAUUCGAAGCAACGCGAAGAACCUUACCAGGUCUUGACAUCUCCUGACAACCCUAGAGAUAGGGCGUUCCCCUUCGGGGGACAGGAUGACAGGUGGUGCAUGGUUGUCGUCAGCUCGUGUCGUGAGAUGUUGGGUUAAGUCCCGCAACGAGCGCAACCCUUGAUCUUAGUUGCCAGCAUUCAGUUGGGCACUCUAAGGUGACUGCCGGUGACAAACCGGAGGAAGGUGGGGAUGACGUCAAAUCAUCAUGCCCCUUAUGACCUGGGCUACACACGUGCUACAAUGGAUGGUACAAAGGGCUGCAAGACCGCGAGGUUAAGCGAAUCCCAUAAAACCAUUCUCAGUUCGGAUUGCAGGCUGCAACUCGCCUGCAUGAAGCUGGAAUCGNUAGUAAUCGCGGNUCAGCACAGACGCGAAUUAAA